rnacentral:lncRNA from 1 species
CCCUUGAAACUAUUUGACAUGUCCAUCUAUUGAUUUCUGACAAGGAACAUAAGAACACUUAAUAUCAUCACCAUGCAUUUCCAGUUAACUAACAUGAAUAUGUCAUGGUUGGGGCAUCCAAUGAACACCCCUGUCAUAUAAAGAUCGCACAUAAAACCCAAAAGAAAAACCAAAAAUCUGUUCAGAUCCAAAAGAAGAUCCCACAGAGGAUAUGGUUUCCAAGCCCCUUACCAACUUCAUCAUCUCAGGUAGAGUGGGAGGAAACCAGCAUUAGAGACCAUUUGUUGUACAGAAACUCUCCCAUGUGGCAUGCACCCACAACGGCCAUCAUUGUCCACAAUCGUGCUCGCAAUAUGCGAGCCAAGCCACCUUUUCCUUCCCAGUUUCUGCCCAGGGCAACAGCCCAACCAAUCAAACUGAGUUAGCAUGAGACUGAACCAUCCAAUAUGAUAAGCAGAUGCAAGCUUAAGAUUCUUGUUUCAUGAUUUCACAAUCAGAUGACAGUCAUCGAAUAUAUCCUAAGCCGGACAGCAGCAUAUCUGUCCAAUUUGGACUUUGUCCAAGGGCCAGGCCAACAAACCACAUGUAAUCCUCUUCUACUAAAGAACAUUGUCUGCUUUUCUUAUCAUUCCAAUAAUUAGGUUAUCUCUUUAGUUCAAUUGAUCUCUUGUAAGCCUAGUUUUCUUUCUGAAACCAGAGAAGCACGGAUUAGGGAGUUUAAUUCCUAAUAAUUUGGUAUCUAACAAAGUUUAAGACAAUCAACACCAACCUAAAAGAAUAUCAUAUUGUUC